UACGUAGGGUGCAAGCGUUAAUCGGAAUACUGGGCGUAAAGCGUGUGCAGGCGGUUAUGCAAGACAGAGGUGAAAUCCCCGGGCUCAACCUGGGAACUGCCUUUGUGACUGCAUAGCUAGAGUACGGUAGAGGGGGAUGGAAUUCCGCGUGUAGCAGUGAAAUGCGUAGAUAUGCGGAGGAACACCGAUGGCGAAGGCAAUCCCCUGGACCUGUACUGACGCUCAUGCACGAAAGCGUGGGGAGCAAACAGG
rnacentral:rRNA from 1 species